AUUGAACGCUGGCGGCAGGCCUAACACAUGCAAGUCGAGCGGAUGAAGGGAGCUUGCUCCUGGAUUCAGCGGCGGACGGGUGAGUAAUGCCUAGGAAUCUGCCUGGUAGUGGGGGAUAACGUCCGGAAACGGGCGCUAAUACCGCAUACGUCCUGAGGGAGAAAGUGGGGGAUCUUCGGACCUCACGCUAUCAGAUGAGCCUAGGUCGGAUUAGCUAGUUGGUGGGGUAAGGGCCUACCAAGGCGACGAUCCGUAACUGGUCUGAGAGGAUGAUCAGUCACACUGGAACUGAGACACGGGCCAGACUCCUACGGGAGGCAGCAGUGGGGAAUAUUGGACAAUGGGCGAAAGCCUGAUCCAGCCAUGCCGCGUGUGUGAAGAAGGUCUUCGGAUUGUAAAGCACUUUAAGUUGGGAGGAAGGGCAGUAAGUUAAUACCUUGCUGUUUUGACGUUACCAACAGAAUAAGCACCGGCUAACUUCGUG
rnacentral:rRNA from 1 species